rnacentral:lncRNA from 1 species
AUGUGAUAGGCACUCAAGAAACAAUAGCUGCUGUGAUGAGGAUGAUGAUGGUGAUGAUGAUUAUUUUAUGAAGUCCUUUCACAUCUCAUUUAGUGUUCUCAGGAACACAAUGACAUGGGUAAUAAUUGUGCAGUGUUUGUUUAUCUCUGGAUCCUGGAUAUACCAGGCUUGUUCCCACCUCCACACCUUUGCUGGGAGCAAUGGUUUUCAGAUGGGAGCAACUUCCAUCCCCAGGGACAUUUCGCAAUAUCUGAAGACAUUUUGGGUUGUCAUGACUGAGGGGUGCUACUGGCACCUAGUGGGUGGAGACCAGGGAGGCUGCUGAACACCCUACACUGCACAGGACAGCCCCCCCUCCAAAGCAAAGAAUUAGGCCACAAAUGUUAACAGUGCCGAGAGUGAGAAACCCUGGCUUAGAUGGUUCUUCCUAUAGAGAUUACUUCCCCAAUUCUACCGUGGAAUAUUCUAUAAGCUUGCUAAACUGACUUUGGAGUGAACACGUGUUAUGAUGGACCUGCCAUUUGGCUGGGCCAAGGCAGGAAAAAGAGAUCUUGUCUGUUAAACAACAAGAGAACUUAGCAGGCUCUAUCUUUCUCCAAGACUAUAUAUCAUUGGGGGAGCUCCCCAAAAAGUUUUGAAGGUGGGGGACUGGAUUCCAGAUAGUCCAAAUUGACCAAUCACCACCACAGUAACAUUAAUGUCCCUAUUUACAGAUUAAUACACUGAUGCUCAGAAGAGUUGGGUAAAUUGCUCAAUUUCAUACCAGCAGCAAGUGGCAGAGCUGAGAUUUUCACUCAAAAUUGUUGCUCUUUUUUUUUUUUUUUUUUUUUCCACAGAGUCCCUGGAAAAGAAGUCCUGGGAGGACAGUCCCAUAGGCUGCAUCAUAAUCAUCUAGUGCCAUUGAGGGGAGCAGGUGGCAGGAGAAAAAGAAGGGAAUUCCCCUUGUGAUUCUGUAGACUUGGCUGGCAGUUCUGACAGUGAUGCAGCUCUGUGACUGCUCCUGCAGAGCAGGGCUACCCCAUAGGCAGUGUGCUGAGAGCUGCAGCUCAGGGCAGGUGUGCAGUCAUAGUUAUAUCUACUUUUAAUUGCAUGCAGAUUAAGAGGUGUUUUUUUGCGGACAUUUCUAGGAAAAGGGUAGUAACUUCUGCACCAUCAGGUCAUUUCUAUGGAGAGGAGUGAUAACUCCUGGGUGUUGCCACGCAAAGGUAAACUGAUGUGGCACACUGGUGGGCA